AUGUGUAAGUAACUGUGCACAUCUUGACGGUACCUAAUCAGAAAGCCACGGCUAACUACGUGCCAGCAGCCGCGGUAAUACGUAGGUGGCAAGCGUUAUCCGGAAUUAUUGGGCGUAAAGCGCGCGUAGGCGGUUUUUUAAGUCUGAUGUGAAAGCCCACGGCUCAACCGUGGAGGGUCAUUGGAAACUGGAAAACUUGAGUGCAGAAGAGGAAAGUGGAAUUCCAUGUGUAGCGGUGAAAUGCGCAGAGAUAUGGAGGAACACCAGUGGCGAAGGCGACUUUCUGGUCUGUAACUGACGCUGAUGUGCGAAAGCGUGGGGAUCAAACAGGAUUAGAUACCCUGGUAGUCCACGCCGUAAACGAUGAGUGCUAAGUGUUAGGGGGUUUCCGCCCCUUAGUGCUGCAGCUA
rnacentral:rRNA from 1 species